rnacentral:rRNA from 1 species
UACGAAGGGGGCUAGCGUUGUUCGGAAUUACUGGGCGUAAAGCGCGUGUAGGCGGGUCCUUAAGUCAGGGGGGAAAUGCCAAGGCUCAACCUUGGAACUGCCUUUGAUACUGGAGACCUUGAGUCCGGGAGAGGUGAGUGGAAUUGCGAGUGUAGAGGUGAAAUUCGUAGAUAUUCGCAAGAACACCAGUGGCGAAGGCGGCUCACUGGCCCGGAACUGACGCUGAGACGCGAAAGCGUGGGGAGCAAACAGG